UACGAAGGGAGCUAGCGUUGUUCGGAAUCACUGGGCGUAAAGGGAGCGUAGGCGGCGUGGUAAGUCAGAUGUGAAAUCCCGGGGCUCAACCCCGGAACUGCAUCCGAUACUGCCAUGCUUGAGGGUUGGAGAGGUAGCUGGAAUUCUCGGUGUAGCAGUGAAAUGCGUGGAUAUCGAGAGGAACACCUGAGGUGAAGACGGGUUGCUGGGCCGACACUGACGCUGAGUGCGCGAAAGCCAGGGGAGCAAACGGG
rnacentral:rRNA from 1 species